GAUGAACGCUGGCGGCGUGCCUAAUACAUGCAAGUCGAGCGAACAGACGAGGAACUUUCUCCUCUGACGUUAGCGGCGGACGGGUGAGUAACACGUGGAUAACCUACCUAUAAGACUGGGAUAACUUCGGGAAACCGGAGCUAAUACCGGAUAAUAUAUUGAACCGCAUGGUUCAAUAGUUAAAGACGGUUUUGCUGUCACUUAUAGAUGGAUCCGCGUCGCAUUAGCUAGUUGGUAAGGUAACGGCUUACCAAGGCGACGAUGCGUAGCCGACCUGAGAGGGUGAUCGGCCACACUGGAACUGAGACACGGUCCAGACUCCUACGGGAGGCAGCAGUAGGGAAUCUUGCGCAAUGGGCGAAAGCCUGACGGAGCAACGCCGCGUGAGUGAUGAAGGUCUUCGGAUCGUAAAACUCUGUUAUUAGGGAAGAACAAAUGUGUAAGUAACUAUGCACGUAUUGACGGUACCUAAUCAGAAAGCCACGGCUAACUCCGUG
rnacentral:rRNA from 1 species